ACGGUGAUCAGAGACGAUCACCGGACGAGGUGCGCCGUACCCGGCCAGCGACAAGACGGCGCCUG
rnacentral:ncRNA from 1 species